UACGUAGGGUCCGAGCGUUGUCCGGAGUUACUGGGCGUAAAGGGUGCGUAGGCGGUUCGGUAAGUCGAAUGUGAAAUCUCCACGCUCAACGUGGAGGGGUCAUUCGAAACUGCCGUGACUUGAGUACGGUAGGGGAGUGUGGAAUUCCCGGUGUAGCGGUGAAAUGCGCAGAGAUCGGGAGGAACACCCGUAGCGAAGGCGGCACUCUGGGCCGAUACUGACGCUGAGGAGCGAAAGCGUGGGGAGCAAACAGG
rnacentral:rRNA from 1 species